AUCACAUGAUGAACAUAACGCGAAGAACAAAAUCGUGCAUUGACGCCAACUUCGAUAAGAUUAUAUUACUAGGAAAAGUCGUGCUGGUUUUAGGGUAUUUUGUAUAUUUUGGUUUUGCAUUAGCCUAUCAUAUCGGUGAUGAGGGAUCUUGGAGACUUGUUUGGUGUACAGCUUUAGGAGUAUGGAUGGUAUGCUGGGGGAUUACUGAAAAGCGAUCAAAUGUUACACCGGUUGGUCAUCAGCCGUCGACAAAUUGUUUGCCGAGUAUUCGAAAGGCAGGCGAACUCGAUAUUUAGAUGGUCUUUGUAUUUCUUGAUGACAGCAUUUAUGGUUGUUUAUUUGAUACUAUUUGUGGCGAUAAAAACACCGGAAAAUCUCAAAUCUUUAAUUGGACUUUUUGUUUUUCCUUUUUUGAUGUUUCUGUAUUCUAAUAAUAGACGAAAGAUAAAUUGGCACACCAUUUACUGGUCGAUGGCUUUGCAAAUU